rnacentral:sRNA from 1 species
CUCGGCUUUGCCUGGACAACUCCUGCCUCCCGCAGGGCCCACCUGUGUCCCCCAGUGCCGCUCCACCCAGGCCCAGCUGGUACCCCCCCUCCACCAGUACCUGAAGAAGUGGGGCUCUCACCCUACCUGCCUCUGCCAUUGGAAUGGCCUGGUUUGCACAGAUGGGAAGCCCAUUUGAGGGGUGGGUGUCUGGGUGGGCACGUGGGGUGAGGACCUGCCUGAGGGACCCUGCCCUGGAACUGACCGUGCAAGCUCAGCGUCCUGCCCAUCUGGGCAGAAGGCUGGUUUCUCCCAUCAAUGAAACCCUCCCAGGACCUUCCUGCAGGCCCUCGUCCCACACAGCUCUGCCGUCCCUUGGUGCCCCUUCCGGCCUCAGGUCCUCCAUGCCGGGUACCUCCGGGCACCUCGAUUGGCUGAGCCAGGGGUUCAGCCUGGCAGGGGGCCCUGGCAGCAGUCCUUGGCCUGUGGAUGCUGUCCUGGCCUGUGGAUGGUGUCCCGGCCUCCACGUACCCCUCUCAGCCCCUCCUCUUGGACCCCAGCCAUGGGCCUGCGCGCGAGCCGGAACUGCUCCCGGACAGAGAAUGCCGUGUGUGGCUGCAGCCCAGGCCACUUCUGCAUCAUCCAGGAUGGGGACCACUGCGCCGCGUGCCGCGCUUACGCCACCUCCAGCCCGGGCCAGAGGGUGCAGAAGGGAGGCACCGAGAGUCAGGACACCCUGUGUCAGAACUGCCCCCCGGGGACCUUCUCUCCCAAUGGGACCCUGGAGGAAUGUCAGCACCAGACCAAGUGCAGCUGGCUGGUGACGAAGGCCGGACCUGGGACCAGUAGCUCCCACUGGGUAUGGUGGUUUCUCUCAGGGAGCCUCGUCAUCGUCAUUGUUUGCUCCACACUUGGCCUAAUCAUAUGUGUGAAAAGAAGAAAGCCAAGGGGUGAUAUAGUCAAGGUGAUCGUCUCCGUCCAGAGGAAAAGACAGGAGGCAGAAGGUGAGGCCACAGUCAUCGAGGCCCUGCAGGCCCCUCCGGACGUCACCACGGUGGCUGUGGAGGAGACAGUACCCGCAUUCACGGGGAGGAGCCCAAACCACUGACCCACAGACUCUGCACCCCGAUGCCAGAGAUACCUGGAGCGACGGCUGCUGAAAGAGGCUGUCCACCUGGCGGAACCACCGGAGCCCGGAGGCUUGGGGGCUCCGCCCUGGGCUGGCUUCCGUCUCCUCCAGUGGAGGGAGAGGUGGGGCCCCUGCUGGGGUGGAGCUGGGGACGCCACGUGCCAUUCCCAUGGGCCAGUGAGGGCCUGGGGCCUGUGCUCGGCUGUGGCCUGAGCUCCCCGGAGUCCUGAGGAAGAGCGCCAGUUGCCCCUCGCUCACAGACCACACACCCAGCACUCUUGGGCCAGCCCAGAGGGCCCUUCAGACCCCAGCUGUCUGCGUGUGUGACUAUUGUGGCCUCAGCAGGACAGGCCCGGGCACUGCCUCACGGCCAAGGCUGGACUGGGUUGGCUACAGUGUGGUGUUAAGUGGAUACCACAUUUGAAGUGAUUUUCUAAAUUGGAUUUGCAUUUGGCUCCUGUUUUCUAUUUGUCAUGAAACAGUGUAUUUGGGGAGAUGCUGUGGGAGGAUGUAAAUAUCUUGUUUCUCCUCAAA